rnacentral:tRNA from 1 species
AAGAUAUCAUAUAAAUGUUUAUAGUUUCGGCCUAUAAUAAGAAUAUUAAUAAUUAUUCUCUUU